GUAGUCCACGCUGUAAACGAUGAUCACUAGAUAUGGGCUUUGCUUAGCAAGGUCUGUGUCGAAGCUAACGCGUUAAGUGAUCCGCCUGGGGAGUACGGUCGCAAGAUUAAAACUCAAAGAAAUUGACGGGGGUCCGCACAAGCGGUGGAACAUGUGGUUUAAUUCGACACUACGCGAGGAACCUUACCUGGACUUGACAUGUAUUCGCUACUGGUAGAAAUAUUGGGUUUUUGUAGAAAUACAAAACGGAUACACAGGUGCUGCAUGGCUGUCGUCAGCUCGUGUCGUGAGAUGUUGGGUUAAGUCCUUUAACGAGCGCAACCCUUGCCGCUAGUUGCUCGCCGUAAGGCAGCUACUCUAGCGGGACUGCCGAGGAAACUCGGA
rnacentral:rRNA from 1 species